rnacentral:rRNA from 1 species
GAUUACCUAGGGGCGCAGCAGUGGGGAAUAUUGCACAAUGGGCGAAAGCCUGAUGCAGCAACGCCGCGUGAAGGAAGAAGGUCUUCGGAUCGUAAACUUCUGUCCUUGGGGAAGAUAAUGACGGUACCCUUGGAGGAAGCCCCGGCUAACUACGUGCCAGCAGCCGCGGUAAUACGUAGGGGGCAAGCGUUAUCCGGAAUUAUUGGGCGUAAAGAGUGCGUAGGUGGUUACUU